rnacentral:rRNA from 1 species
GGGAAACCGGAGCUAAUACCGGAUAAUAUAUUGAACCGCAUGGUUCAAUAGUGAAAGACGGUUUGCUGUCACUUAUAGAUGGAUCCGCGCCGCAUUAGCUAGUUGGUAAGGUAACGGCUUACCAAGGCAACGAUGCGUAGCCGACCUGAGAGGGUGAUCGGCCACACUGGAACUGAGACACGGUCCAG